GCAGGUUUAUACCUGAAACUCGGGCCGGAGGCCAGAGGGGCCCCAGCUGAGCUUGGAGCAGGAGUGGGGGCUUGGUGGGGGGGAGGGGGGGUUGCUGUGCAGGUGUCUUGCAGAAGGAGCUGACCUCCGGGCAGAGGUUGUCAGCGUUUGUGCCCUGCAGUGGAGGUAUUUGUUGGUGGUGACGAUGAGGAAAAGGCUGUUAGUCAGCAGGUCUCCAUUGGGCUGUGAAAUUCCCUAUCGCUGAGGGCAAGUAAUCCCCCCAAAUCCAUAUCCAGGGUUUUCAAAGCCACCACUGCCAUUUCGGCUUUUGGUAUAGCCCUCAGCAUGACUAUUUGGAAGAAGCCUCUCCUGCCCAGCUCAUCCAUGACCGGCAGUUCUGCUGUGCCUGAUGGAAGGCUGGCAGGCAGGUCGGGGUGGGGACAGGAUGCCAUGUCCUCCACGGACAGGUGAAGGUCCGGCCUGCCAUCGAGAGCAGGGGCGUUGGUGUCCUUCUGGGCCACGCAGGUGUUCUGUGGGCUAGCGGCAGACCACUUGUCUGCUGGGCCUACAGCCAGUGGCAGAAGCUGUUAAACUCUGCACGGGGUGGUGACAUCACGGGUCCGGGUAUUUAUGGAAACCAAAGUCCGUGCCUCAUUAAGCUAGGCUUCCCGGGCGGGGGGGGGGGGGCAUCAGAUUAGAACUCCAGCUUGCCUCACGGCUCUCGGGGCUCUGCACCGUGCUGUUCUGGGGCCAGGAACCUUCGGUCUCUGGCCUUGCAGGAUCCUUCCUCUAGGGCUCGGAGCUGUAGGGUGGGACACAGCUCCACAUCUCCACCUGCCCUAGGCAGUUUGCCCCACACCUCAGCUUUCUGGGGCUGUUCAGUGACCUCAGACCUUGUAAGGUUAGAGAACAGAGUUGGAGCCUCUUGGGCUGGGCUCCAUCCCCAGGACUAGAAAAGAGAAGCCUGGAGCCUUAUUUAGGGGGACAUCUUGGGGGCCACUCCAAGGCCUCACGACCCUAUACCGUGACAAGGACCUGUGGAGCUCCCAGUUAAGCAGCACCCCCACCCCUCCGUGGAGGGACAGCUCUCUCGCUAAUGGAGCGUGAAGGAAAAUAAACAUACUUCUUGCCAUGCGCCAGCAGGCCCCGACAGGAGCCCUGGGUGGUGGUGAAGGUGGCCUGUGUCUACGGUUUGCUGUGAUGUUCAUCUGCUUUUUUAGUGGAAAAGCCCACAGGUUGUGGUGCUGAUGUGAGCAGGACACCCCAGUGUUCUCUCUCACUCGCUGUGACAAGGCCCUAGCUGUAUUUUUGGAAACAAAUAGUAAAUCCUUCCCCACCGUUGCUGCAUCCGCCACCGUUGCUGGUAAGGGAGCCCUCCCCGGGCAGCUGUCUUCUUCCUGCCACACCUUUGCCCGGGCCCAGGAGCUGCCCAAGCCUAUCUGCUCACCGUCUUGCCAGGGACACAGUUGCCAUCCAGUACUUGCCCCAAUACCAGUACAGACUGGUUCAGUCCACCAGGAGCCCUGGAACCUGCACUUUAAGCUCCUGGCAGUUUCGUCUCCUAACGAAGCCCACCCUGCCCUGCCCGGCUUGCCUGGGAGAGGGGCUGAGCCGGUGCCGAGGGAGGGCCUGUUGGGGGGCUCUGUGCCCCCUGCCUCUCAUUUGUGUGGGUCCUUUUAUGCUCCUCCGGCUCUCAGGCUCCUACAGCCUGGUACCGUGACAUCCAGCACCCAGGUGCUGCCACAAACCUAUGGCUACCAGAGGUGGCAAAGAGGCUGGGGAGGGGGCGACUGGAAAUGAGCCAUUGCCCCAUUGUUUUUAGGGAAAGACUGGGACCCAGAGCAGGCCUGCUUGACAGGGCUGCACAGCAGACACAGAGCCCUGUGUGUUUGCUCCCCGCUUCACCGUGGCCCAGAACCAGGGCUCUCCUAGCACCUGCUGCUCGACCUUUGUUCCCAGCGCUUUUGAUGCGAUAGGGGGGACGGGGGACGGGGAGCGGCGUGUCUUUAGCUGUUUAACUCUCAGGGCAGCUGGAAACCCAAGCAUGGUAGCGUCUGGCCGACAUACCGUUGUACCAUUUAGCUUCAGAGCCCUUUCCGCCCAGUUGCCCUGUUGGUUCUCACCAACUGUUCUAGAAUGGGGGUGUUGUUGAUCUCAUCUUACAGAAGAGGAAACUGAGGCUCAGGGAGGGUAGGAGUGUGGCCGAGGUCACGUGGCUGUUUCCUGCUGUAUCCUUGACAAUGGGGUCCCUCCCCUGGUAUGUCACGUGCCAGACUCGACCGACUCGCUCCGGGUCCCCGUGUGUGGCAGGAGCAGGGUGUCCCGUGGCUUAGCUUGUCCAGGUGGCCAUCCUCUGGGUCCCCUGGAGCAGGCCCUAAGAGAGUGUUAUGACAUUUGGGCUCUGUCCGAGGGUGGGUACCCGCCGGGGGGGGGGGGGGGGCUCAGUCACUUACAGCGGUGGCAGAGAGAACAAGAUAAAGGACAGCAAUACGACACGAGCGGGAGAUUUAUUAAUGCAUUGGGGGGAAAUCGCGAGGCCUCCAGAAUCAGCUCCUUAAUCAAAUUUGCUAACAACUGAGAUCAUUACCAUACUGACGGCUUAAUUAAUGGUGUCUUAAUUAAGGUGAGCCCCUUUCAGACUGUAACUACACUUAACAGGGUAACCACCGUCUUACGGGCAUGUCACAUCCUGCUGCUUGAACACGGAAAGCUGGGGCUACAGGGCGUUCGCACUGAGUGUGAAAUUCACAGCUUCUGGGGGGUUGGGGGCUGAAGUGGGGCGCCUCCUGCUCAUUCGUUCAUUCACUCUGGCUGGAACUUCUGUGACCCCUCACCUGACAUUCCUCUAUUCCUUCUCUGCCCGGUGCUGUCUCCAUCUGCCCGCUGCCGUUGGUUGAUUGGUUCACCUGCUAGAACGUACCAGGGCAGAGAGGUUGACAGUGUGCUAGCUGCUGCUACCCUAGCAUCUAGAAAAGCACAGGCAUAUAGUAACUGCUCAGUAAAUCUCUGUUGAAUGAAUGAAUUAUGGAUCUGCAGCGGGCACUGCCCUAAGCAGUGGGGCACAUUGCUGAGUAAUAGAUAGUUUCUGCCUUCUGGGAGCCUGAAGGCCAGUGGGUGAGACAGACAUGAACAGACACUCUCAGUACACAGUGCCAAGGGCCGGGACAGGAAGAUGACCCGGCGAUGGGGAGGGUCACUGCAUCCUACAGCAGGCAUGUAGUGUGAAUGGAAUUUUCCAGGUGGUCAAGGAGGGAAGAGCACUCCAGGUACACAAAUGUCAGGCCACGAUCGCAAGAAUUUUGCAGGCGUAAGCUCAUUUGACCUUCACAGUGACCCUGGGAGGUGGGGCUGUUAUUAUCCCUAUUGUGCUGACAAUGCCACUGAGUUAUCAAAUAACUUGUCCCAGGUGGCACCCGGUGAGGGGGUAGCACAGGGCUUGAGGCUGCACAGCCAGCCCCUAAAGCCCAGCUCCGGUGCUGUGCGUAUACUAAAGGCUUUUACUGAAAGCAGCUACGUCUGGUCCGAGCCCCAAGCGUGAGGGAAAAGACAGAGACGACACUGAAAAUGUGGGCAGGACCCAAGGCAGAAGUCACCUGGAGUGCCAGGAGCUUAACUUUUUAAAAGGGCUGAGGACCGGUGCUGGGUCUGAUGGGCUACUACGAGACAGGAAGACCAGCAACCCCCUGUCUUGGUCCUUCCAGGAGAAGCCUGUGUGGUCACUGACCUCUGUCGCCCUCCCCUCCCUGACAGGUGAGACCCCUUGACCUCUCCCCAGCCAGGGGCACGGGGACCUGCUUCCUUCCCUACCCCAGAAAGACAACAUAGGCCCCUUUUGCUGCCAGCCGGUGCCUGGUCAGCCCUGGCAAGAAGGUUGAGAGUCUGGAGCUCUCCCUAGAGACCCUAACCCCAAAGCACCCCACCCUCCCAAAGGCCUGGGCCCGGCCCCACCUAGAGGCUCCCCCAAGUGGGCCUGGACCGUCCACUCCCUCCCGCUCAGCCUCCGCCUAGUGCCACCUGUGUGGGUGAUAAUACAGCCACCUCAUUCUUCCUCUGUCCCCUCUGUCCCUCUGUGCCCAUUCUCAGGGAGACCCAAAUCAAACCUUCGUUCAAAUGCCAUUUGAAAGCAAAAACGUAACCCAGCCAACUAAAACAAAAAGGUUAAGGGAAUGGAGUGUUUUUGAUGAGCCUGUUGUCCUGCAAAUUGACUAUUCAGUGAAUGGGAUUUUGGCAAAUUGACUUGUCACGGGUUGAGGGAGAGCCAGGACAAGGCCUGUGAGGCUGGGGAUGGCGGGGCUGAAGCCAGACCGAGUGUGGUGUGGGCUCAGGGCCCGAUACACCUGGGAUCUCGGGGGCUGGGCUCCCUGGACAGACCCCAGCUGGAGGACUCUGGCCUCCCGCUCUCGUCCACCUGACCUUGUGGGGAUGAGCUAGGGACACGAGGCCCGGGCUGGAGAUGCCCCGAGUCUCCCAGUCUCCGGUCACACCUGACCUUGUUGGACACUGGUGCACUGGCCUGUCCUCAGAGGGACAAAUCAUCCAAUUGUGACAGGGUCCCACUGGAGCAGCCUCGGAGCUUAGCGGGCAGCCCAUCUGAGCGUGGCUAAUUGCAAGAUGUUUUAUUGGCUUCGGCGGUUCCAUUCCUCGUCAAGACGGUCCCGGCUUCUGUUUGGAAUGGUUAAUAAGGGAAGUGAUGCAUUUUUAAUCA